rnacentral:lncRNA from 10 species
UUUUGUAUAUUUAGUAGAGAUGGGGUUUUACCAUGUUGGCCAGGCUGAUCUCGAACUCCUGACCUCAGGUGAUCCGCCCGCCUUGGCCUCCCAAAGUGCUGGGAUUACAGGCAUGAGCUACGGCGCCUGGCCAAAAUGGACAAUCUUUUAUUCGAUGUUACAGCUACACAUGCAAACGCACAGCACACACACGCUUGCACGCAUUAGCAGUUUACUCCUCAGCUCCUCCUCAGAGAAGCAGAAUAGAGAAACUGAAGACGGGCUGAAAAGGGCAGAUCCUGCCAACACACUUAAACUGGAGGAAAGCUAAGAAUCCAGCCAUGGCAGACCAUCUGAAGUCCCUCUCUGGCUUCUCCUACUAGCCCAUCGUCCUUGAGCCACAGUCCCUGCAUCUUAGCAUUGUGAAGCACUGGGCUCUUGGGGUUCAGAUCUUGUCCCUUUUCUUGCCAGUGACCUCGGGCAACUCAAUCUCCCUUAGCCUCAUCCUGUGGAACCCGGGAUGAGAACAGAACUUUCUCCUAAGGGGGCUGUGAGAAGAAAUAACUCCUGGGACCUGCCUAGCACCAAGCCUGGAGCAAAGUCAGUACGGAAUAAAUAUUAUUGUCCUGCCUAUGUGCAUUCUCGUUGCCUCCUGGAAAGUGGUAUUGAUUGUGAUUCGUGUUCAUCCUGCAGACAGGUGAGGGAAUGGAGGCCAAGAGAAGGGUAUGCACCUGGCGUCACCCAGCACAGCAGCUACUGUCUUGGUCUACGGAAGACACACCUCCUCUGAGGUAACAGCCUCAGAGGUUACCGGGUAAGCAGAGGCCUCAGAUAAGAUUCUCCCCUCACAAUGCAUCCUGAAGCGGGACCCCAGGGAGAGAAGGCAGUUGGAGCUGAGUCGGCAGUGCGUGCUGUUAGGUGAUUGACCCCUGG